AGUAAAUGUAAUCUAAAUAAUAUACUGAAUUCGUUUAGUUAGAAAUAUAAAAUACCAAUAACAUGGCGUAUAAGAAUGUAAGAAGUGUUUUCAGAGUGGCCGUGCUCUUUGAUUACAAAUAACAGCUGUUAAUAGUUGAUUAGUGAUAAUGCUUUGCGGUGAGUACCUUCUUUGUAGCGGUGUUGAUGGCAGGCCUGGGCAGCAAGACUGGCGUUGAUGAUUUUUCCAUGGCAAGCUUUAAAUGGAAAUUUGAGUGCAGCAACAGUCCAGUGAGAAGGAGCGCAGCCGUCAUCGUUAGGUGCGUCCUAGGAGUAUGCCGAAUUCUUCUUCUGAUGGGGUCGUCCAGGUCCAGAAGGUGCAGAGCAGAGGUGGUGUUUUUUACAGGGCAUAAGGCAAGAACGGGCAGCAGCCACGGCAGCAG